AUUGAACGCUGGCGGCAUGCCUUACACAUGCAAGUCGAACGGCAGCACGGGUGCUUGCACCUGGUGGCGAGUGGCGAACGGGUGAGUAAUACAUCGGAACGUACCUUAUCGUGGGGGAUAACACAGCGAAAGUUGCGCUAAUACCGCAUACGCCCUGAGGGGGAAAGCGGGGGACCGUAAGGCCUCGCGCGAUUAGAGCGGCCGAUGUCUGAUUAGCUUGUUGGUGAGGUAAAAGCUCACCAAGGCGAUGAUCAGUAGCUGGUCUGAGAGGACGAUCAGCCACACUGGGACUGGGACACGGCCCAGACUCCUACGGGAGGCAGCAGUGGGGAAUUUUGGACAAUGGGGGCAACCCUGAUCCAGCAAUGCCGCGUGAGUGAAGAAGGCCUUCGGGUUGUAAAGCUCUUUUGUCAGGGAAGAAACAGCAGCUCUAACACAGUCUGCGAAUGACGGUACCUGAAGAAUAAGCACCGGCUAACUACGUGCCAGCCGCCGCGGUAA
rnacentral:rRNA from 1 species